UACGGAGGGAGCUAGCGUUGUUCGGAAUUACUGGGUGUAAAGCGCACGUAGGCGGCGAUUCAAGUCAGAGGUGAAAGCCCGGGGCUCAACCCCGGAACUGCCUUUGAAACUAGAUUGCUAGAAUCCUGGAGAGGUUAGUGGAAUUCCGAGUGUAGAGGUGAAAUUCGUAGAUAUUCGGAAGAACACCAGUGGCGAAGGCGACUAACUGGACAGGUAUUGACGCUGAGGUGCGAAAGCGUGGGGAGCAAACAGG
rnacentral:rRNA from 1 species